GUGCCAGCAGCCGCGGUAAUACCAGCUCCCCGACUGGUCGGGAUGAUUAUUGGGCCUAAAGCGUCCGUAGCCGGUUCUUUGUGUGAUUCGUUAAAUCCAGCGGCUCAACCGCUGGACUGCGAAUCAUACUAAAGGGCUAGGGGGCGGGAGAGGCCAAGGGUACUCCGCGGGUAGGGGUAAAAUCCGCUGAUCCGCGGAAGACCACAGUGGCGAAGGCGUUUGGCCAGAACGCGCCCGACGGUGAGGGACGAAAGCUAGGGGAGCGAACCGGAUUAGAUACCCGGGUAGUCCUAGCCGUAAACGAUGCUCGCUAGGUCUUGGAAGAACUUCGUGUUCUGUCAGGGCCGCAGGGAAGCCGUUAAGCGAGCCGCCUGGGGAGUACGGCUGCAAGGCUGAAACUUAAAGGAAUUGCGGGGGAGCACCACAAGGGGUGAAGCCUGCGGUUUAAUUGGAGUCAACGCCGGGAACCUUACCAGGGGUGACGGCAGAGUGAUGGUCAGGCUAAAGACCUUACCUGACGAGCCGAGAGGAGGUGCAUGGCCGUCGCCAGCUCGUGCUGUGAAGUGUCCUGUUAAGUCAGGCAACGAGCGAGACCCCUGCUGUUAGUUGCUUCUUGUUUCCGAAAGGUGAUGGGAGGAAACUAACAGGACCGCCGCCGAUAAGGCGGAGGAAGGUGGGGGCUACGGCAGGUCAGUAUGCCCCGAAACCCCUGGGCCACACGCGGGCUGCAAUGGUGGAGACAAUGGGAGCCGAACUCGAAAGAGGGAGGUAAUCUCUAAACUCCACCGUAGUAGGGAUUGAGGGCUGAAACCCGCCCUCAUGAACCUGGAAUCCCUAGUAAUCGCGGGUCACCAUCCCGCGGUGAAUACGUCCCCGCUCCUUGCACACACCGCCCGUC
rnacentral:rRNA from 1 species